rnacentral:lncRNA from 1 species
ACUGAAUUAGGUGGACAGCCCCAGGGACAGCAGGAUCCUGUGCCAUGAGGGCAGAGGACAUCUUGUUUUUCUUUGCCUGUCCCCUCUUGCCCUCCCUGGGAGGGACAGGCCAUGCUGAUUUCCCUGUGCCUCCUGACAGAACCCUGAGCAUCAGUCCUGGUGAUCUCGGAGCUGAACACACAGCCUCAGAGCAUUUGAGGAACAGAAAAGGCAACGUGACUAAGCUUCCUGGGGCGGUGAGGUCAGGCAGGGAGGUGGGUGCGAGGUCAUGGGGCCGCAGGCAAACGGCCCUCCCUCCCAGUGCCCCACAUGCAGGCCCUCUCCCAGACGAGAGUCGAGGCAGCAGGGGGGUGGCGGCGGGGAGUGGGGGAGAGUGCAGGCCGAGAACACUGCUUGUUAGGGCUGGGAGCUAACAGCAGAGGAUAUUAUUCUGACAGGGCCACUGUGACAAAGUCCUGUAUGCUGGGUGGCUUGUAGCUCUGGAGGACAGGAGUCCAAGAUCAAGGUGCCUCAUGUUGGGUGAGUUUUGGUUUCUUCUUCUUUUUUUUGACACAGAGUCUCUUUGUCACCAGGCUGGAGUGCAGUGGUGCGAUCUAGGCUCACUGCAACCCCCGCCUCUCGGGUUCAAGCGAUUCUCCUGCUUCAGCCUCCCCGAGUAUCUGGGAUUACAGGCGCCCACCACCACGCCCGGAUAAUUUUUUGUAUUUUUAUUAGAGAUGGGGUUUCGCCAUUUUGGCCAGGCUGGUCUCGAACUCCUGACCUCAGGUGAUCCGCCCGCCUCAGCCUCCCAAAGUGCUAGGAUUACAGGCACGAGCCUCUGCGCCCGGCCAAGGGUUGGUUCUUUCUGAGGCUGCAGAAAGACUCUGUUCUAGGCCUCCCCGUAGCUUCUGGCAAUCUCCAGCAUUCCUUGGUGUGCAGACACAUCACCCCCACCUUUGCCUUCAUCCCCACCUGCUGUUUUCCCUGGGUGUCUGUGGCUACAUUUCAAAAAUUAGCUGGGCAUGGUGGUACAUGCCUGUAGUCCUAGCUACUCGGGAGGCUGAGGUGGGAGAACUGCUUGAGCCUGGGAGGUGGAGGUUGCAGUGAGCGGAGAUCGCUCCACUGCACUCCAGCUUGGGUGACAGAGCCAGACCCUGUCUCCCAAAAAAACAAAAAACAAACAAACAAACAAAAACAAGUGGUGAGCCAGUUUUGGUCCAAGGGCCAGCCACAGUUUGCUGAUCCCUUCCCUUUGGACUUUGGAAUGAGAUCCCAACCUUGGACUUUGGAAUGAGACAGGCCUGCAUCUGGAUUAGCGGCUGUGUGGCUUUGAGCAGGUUACUGAAUAUCUCUCGGCCUCAGGUUUUUCACCUGUAUGGCAAUGUGAUAAAACCUAUGUCAUAGAGUUGCUGUAUCAAACAAGACAGAGUGUGCACACCCCAGCCCACGGCAGCUACUGGUUAAACAUCGAUGCCUAUCUCCUCUGCUCCAAUGCAAAGCGCCUUCUGCAGCCAGCACCACUUGCUCUCGUCUAACAUGCAAUGCUCGAUUCUGAUGUAGCUCAGCUGUGGAUUUCCAACCUACAGAGGCAAGCAGCUACAGACCAGGUAGCAAGGGAGGAGGUGGAUGGUCAGCACUCACUCGGCUCUUCCUGGGAGCCCACCACCAUCCCGAGCACUUCACACAUAUGAUCUUAGUCAAUCCCAGGCAGGUUCUACUACUACCCCCACACUGCAGAUGAACCAACUGAGUCACAGAGGGGCUGAGUAGCUGGCCCAAGGUCCUGCAGAUGCUGUGCAUCAGAGCCAGGAUUUGAACUCAGAGCCCACAGUCUCAACCCCUCCAAUGUACUGCCUCCAUCAAGGACGACAGAAGGUCCAAUGACGAUGAAGACAAGUGACAGUCCUUUUUCUUUUUUCUUUUUUUGAAACAGAGGCUUGCUGUGUCACCCAGGCUGGAGUGCAGUGGCACUAUCUCAGCUCACUGCAACCUCCAGCUCCCGGGUUAAAGCAAUUCUCCUGUCUCAGCCUCUCAAGUAGCUGGGAUUUCAGGUGUGCACCACCAAACCUGGCUAAUUUUUUGUAUUUUAGUAGAGACAGGGUUUCACCAUGUUGGCCUGGCUGGUCUCGAACUCCUGACCUCAAGUGAUCCACCUACCUUGGCCUCCCAAAGUGCUGGGAUUACAGGCGUGAGCCACCGUGCCCAGCUGCCAUUUUCUAAAGUACAAAGAUGACUGUUCCCAGGGUGACCCCGAGUCACUGAGAAAUGCUAAACUGCUCCUCUGAGCUUGUGUGGGAAGGCAGGUACAUGAGGCUCCAGGAAAGCCUGCUGUCCCAGAUGUCAAGACAGAACCAUGAUGGCACCAGCACCUAGAUGGGGCCUCAAUAGGUAGCUGUUGAAGGUGGUGGUGCAAAGUGUGGCACAACGAGGGACAAACUGCAGCUACCAGACAAGGUCAUGUGCGAGGACCUCCCCCAGGAAUCCAGGCCAAGGAAGGUGGUCUCGCAUGCAGUGGUAAGCGUGCCCAGAGCUGCCAGGGCUGAGAAGCCCCGGAGGGCCGUGGCCUGCAGCUGGUUUUUGCUGGGUGCCCCUCUCCUCUCCAUGACCCGACACAAUUCAGUGGCCCCUGCAGCUGAGCCGCACAUCUGACCAUCUGACUGCCACCCAGGCCAAGGACCAUCCUUGUAAACUGGGGGGGCAUCAGUGGAGUGACAGCCCCAGCCCAAACAGAUACUUAAGAAUAGGGAUAAUCAGAAGCACAGCUGGCUGGACGGACUUUUCAAGUCCAAUCAGCACCAUGUCCUGACUAUUGGAUGUACCCCGGGGUUACUGGCUUUUCUCGCAUCAGGAAAAUUAGAGCCGAGAAAAGCAAUUCUGAGGGCAGCACGCCAUCACCCUCAGUGCAGCUGCCCUGUUCUUCAUCACGAUUCCCUCCAGCAGGGCUGGGCCGGGUGGAGCUGCCAGGCGGCCCUCAUUCCUUAAGUGAGUCCUAGUCCUGCUCAGGCUGAGCCAGCAGGGUGGGGAGAGAAAACAGAGAUGCCCCUGGGGGCUCCGUGUCUGCCUGAGAAUGCGGCCAGCUGCCCGCAGGGGAGGGGCGCGUUCUGUGACGGAGGAAGCCCCGGGAGGAGGAAGAGAUGGGGCUGAUGGUGCAGACAGGGCUGGGGUAGGGGCAUGAGACCAAAUGGGAGCAGGAAGCAGGCCCUGCCUGCAGCUCCUUCUUCCUCUCAAGGGAGAGCCUCACUCCUGUCUUUAUAUUCCUCCUUUCUUGGCUCAGGACUUCCUGCUCACUACUGGUUUCCCUGCUUCCACCCUGCACCCCAGGCCAGCUUCCAAAGCCCCAGUUUGAUCCCAUCACUCCCUGUCUAAAGCCCACCAUGGCUCCCUAGUACCCUCAGGCCAGAGCUGGCCUCACUUGCACCUGGUGCUCAAGCCCAACUCCUGCUAUUUUCUCCUCUCUUCUGUUUCCAUCUAACCUGCCAGCAUGUCCUGUGGCUUCUGCAGCCUGGCCUGAGUGUCUAUCAUAUGUCCUGCUAGAAGAGUCCAACGGCCUGGGCCCCGUAUCCCUACACCCCUGAUCUAUUCUCAAUGCAGCAGCUAGAGGACUGCUUCAAAAUGAAAUCCGAUCAAGUGGCUUCCCCGCAUCCUUCCACGUGGAUCACAAAAUCCAAACUCCUUACCCAGGACCGCAGAGCCCCGCAUGAAAGUGCCCCUCCCCUCAUCUCCUGCUCCCUCUCCAUCCUUCACUUUCCAGCUACAAUGGCUUCUGGGUCCCCAACAUACGCGAAGCUCAUUCCUGUCCUCAGCCUUCUCCCUGCCUGGCAGGUUCCUCCCCUGAGCUCCGGGGGCCUCCUUCCCUUCAGUCUUGGAUAAAAGGCUCCUGUUCCAGAGUGAACUUUUUUUUUUUAAUUGAGAUGGAGUCUUGCCCUGUCACCUAGGCUGGAGUGCAGUGGCACAAUCUCGGCUCACUGCCACCUCCACCUCCUGGGUUCAAGCGAUUCUCCUGCCUCAGCCUCCUGAGUAGCUGGGAUUACAGGUGCUCGCCACCAUGCUCGGCUAAUUUUUAGUAUCUUUAGUAGAGACGGGGUUUCACCAUGUUGGCCAGGCUGGUCUCGAACUCCUGACCUCAUGAUCUGCCCACCUUGGCCUCCCAAAGUGCUGGGAUUACAAGCGUGAGCCACCGUGCCCGGCCCAGAGAGAACUUCUUUGGCAAUCGUGUGCAAAGCAGCCCUACACUCUCUUCUGCGCCUUCCCAUUUGAAUCCUUCAUAGUAUGUAUUACCAUCUCAUCUUUUUACUGUCUAUUCACCUAUUUAUUCCUUGCUUCUCCUCUACGCUGCCUGGGCUGGAGGAGACUGCCCAGUUUGCUCUGCCCACCAGGACUCGAUACCCUCAGUGCCCAGCCCUGGCCUGGCAUGCAUCGGAGGUCAAUUGAUAUUUCUGGAAUGACUAUCUGUGUUCCUGACACCUGGCAGAGUGCCUGCUACCGUGAAUUUGAUUAAAUUGGAUAGAGAAAAAUAGCAGUGACCAUUCACUGCUUAUUGGGAACCUACUGAUUAUGUGGGUGAGGGCAGGCACAGUGAUUGGUGUCCAAUGGCCCCCAUGUCAACCUCAGGGAAGGCAGCCAGUCAGAGCUCCAACAGAGUCCCUCCACCCCAACAAACAACUGACCCUUUGACUUAGAUUUGGAAUUGAGCCUCACUUUCUUGAAGUGACCUCAAAUUAAGGUGACAGGUUAUUCCCUUUUGGUUCUUUUGAGCCUCAUCAAGGAGGGUUGGGGGCGUCAUGCUAGAGACCCAUACCAGCCGUACUCAGUGGCCCACACACUCCUUUCACAGCCCUGGCUCAGGCUGGCACCAAGCAGGACUGCGGAACUGCUUGGAAAGCACCAACCAAGAAAAGCAGCAGGUCAGCACUUUCUGGGAUUUGCUGCCUUAAUAUUAAAAUAUUCAUAUAGAGAAGUAAUAUCACUGUACACAAGUUUCCUCUCUGCAAACAAGGAUUAACAUCUGUUCCCAGAGCUUGGCCAGUGCAAGGCACAUAACGGUGAGGUGGCGUUUUGCAAAAGCGAGGCUGUUAAACUGCCAGAGCCCAGAAGACAAGCACUCAGGACGAGGACCGCCCUGAGAACUGCAGGUUCUCAAAGCUGCUAGUGAUGUGUUUUAUUACUGUACUACCCACUGAUGUUAAUAAUAUCAUCGAACGCAGGUCCAUAUGCAAGCUUCUCCAAACAUCUCCUUAAUGGUUUUCAUGGCUUUUUCACCCCUCCGAUCCAGGAUCCCAAAUGAGAUUACAUGUUGCAAUCCACUCUCCUGGCUCCUGAUUGUCCUUUAAUCUUUAAUCUAGAAGGUUCUCUUUGCCUUCUGUGGGUCUUUCUUUCCUUUUUUUUUUUUUUUUUUUUUUGAGACAGAGUCUGGCUCUGUCGCCCAGGCUGGAGUGCAGUGGCGUGAUCUUGGCUCACUGCAGCCUCCGCCUCCUGGGUUCAAGUGAUUUUCCGGCCUCAGCCUCGUGAGUAGCUGGGAUUACAGGCAUGUGCCACCACGCCCAGCUAAUUUUUGUAUUCUUAGUAGAGAUGAGGGUUUCACUAUGUUGGCCAGGCUGGUCUUGAACUCUUGACCUCAUGAUCCGCCUGCCUCAGCCUCCCAAAGUGCUGGGAUUACAAGCAUGGGCCACCGUGCCUGGCACUUCUGUGGGUCUUUCAUGACAUGGAAGUUUUGGAAGAGUCCAGGUCAGCUGCCCUGCCUCAAUCCAACGAACCCACAGGUAAUGUGUUCUCAAAGCAUCACAUCAGGAAGCCCAUAAUGUCCGUCUGUCCAUUACUGGUAACGCCUUCUCAUUCUUUCAUUCCAUCUUUGUUUGUUUAUUUAUUUAUUUUUGAGGCAGGGUCUCACUGUGUCACCCAGGCUGGAGUGCAGUGGCAUGAUCUCAGCUCACUGCAGCCUUGGCCUCCUGGGCUUAAGCCAUCCUCCUGCCUCAGCCCCCAGAGUGUGGGACCACAGGUGAGUGCCACCAUGCCCAGCUAAUUUUUAAAAAUGUUUUAUAGAGACAAGGUCUCCCUAUGUUGCCCAACCUGGUCUCAAACUCCUCAGCUCAUGUGAUUCUCCCACCUUGGCCUCCCACCUUGGCCUCCCACCUUGGCCUCCCACCUUGGCCUCCCACCAAAGUUCUGGGAUUAUAGGCGUGAGCCACCAGGCCCAGUCCCUCUAUGUUUAUUAAUCAGCAUUCAUCUCUUCUCUUCCUCCCCGACCCCACCAUUUUUUUUUUUUUUUUGAGACAGAGUCUUGCUCUGUCGCCCAGGCUGGAGUGCAGUGGCAUGAUCUUGGCUCACUGCAACCUCUGCCUCCUGGGUUCAAGCGAUUCUUCUGCUUCAGCCUCCUGAGUAGCUGGGACUACAGGUGAGCACCACCACGCCUGGCUAAUUUUUGUAUUUGUAGUAGAGACGAGGUUUCAUCAUAUUGGCCAGGCUGGUCUUGAACUCCUGACCUCGUGAUCUGCCCGCCUUGGCCUCCCAAAGUGCUGGGAUUACAGGCCCUCCUUUCCCCCUUGAAUCACCCAUUUCUUUUAUUAUUUUAUUGGAUGUUCAAUUGUCCCAUCUUUGCCAGCAGGAGUCCCUUUCAGCCAGUGCCUGGGUCUUUUGGACCCAUCUGUCUUUGAAUGCAUUCUUGCUUUCUGGAAGGACAAAGGGCUCUAGUUGCAUUUUACUUUCCACUGCCUCAUGCCUGGCAUCCUCCACUUGUCCAAGGAGACCUGGCUCCUUCUGAUGGAGACUGGCAUCAAGAAAUAGAGAGAUGUGGGCACUAGAUACAUGCAUUGCUACAGGGGGACAUGGCUUCUUGCUCUUCUUUCUAUGGUUAUGACUUGUCAAUUGCAUAUUUAUACCAUCAAAAGAGCAUAAUGAUGGCCCCAACUCCAAUCCACCGCCUUCCCCCAUUCCAUAUGAGAAGGCCCUUUUCCCACAGAGAGAACCCUGGUACCUAACAGUAUAUAUUUACUUAUUUGCUCU